rnacentral:rRNA from 1 species
UAUCCUGGCUCAGGAUGAACGCUGGCGGCGUGCUUAACACAUGCAAGUCGAGCGAAGCACUUAUCAUUGACUCUUCGGAAGAUUUGAUAUUUGACUGAGCGGCGGACGGGUGAGUAACGCGUGGGUAACCUGCCUCAUACAGGGGAAUAACAGUUAGAAAUGGCUGCUAAUGCCGCAUAAGCGCACAGGACCGCAUGGUCUGGUGUGAAAAACUGAGGUGGUAUGAGAUGGACCCGCGUCUGAUUAGGUAGUUGGUGGGGUAACGGCCUACCAAGCCGACGAUCAGUAGCCGGCCUGAGAGGGUGAACGGCCACAUUGGGACUGAGACACGGCCCAGACUCCUACGGGAGGCAGCAGUGGGGGAUAUUGCACAAUGGGGGAAACCCUGAUGCAGCGACGCCGCGUGAAGGAAGAAGUAUCUCGGUAUGUAAACUUCUAUCAGCAGGGAAGAAAAUGACGGUACCUGACUAAGAAGCCCCGGCUAACUACGUG